AGAGUUUGAUCCUGGCUCAGAAUCAACGCUGGCGGCGUGCCUAACACAUGCAAGUCGAACGCGAGGACCCCGCAAGGGGUUAGUAGAGUGGCAAACGGGUGAGUAACGCGUGGGUGACCUACCUUCGAGUGGGGGAUAACGUUCCGAAAGGGACGCUAAUACCGCAUGACAUCCUGCCUUUGAACAGGUGGUGAUCAAAGCCGGAACCGCAAGGUCUGGCGCUUGAUGAGGGGCCCGCGUCCGAUUAGCUAGUUGGUGGGGUAAUGGCUCACCAAGGCGACGAUCGGUAGCCGGCCUAAGAGGGCGGACGGCCACACUGGGACUGAGACACGGCCCAGACUCCUACGGGAGGCAGCAGUGGGGAAUUGUUCGCAAUGGGCGCAAGCCUGACGACGCAACGCCGCGUGGAGGAUGAAGACUUUCGGGUCGUAAACUCCUGUCGAGCGGGACGAAUGAUCUGCGACCUAAUACGUCGUAGAAGUGACGGUACCGCUAGAGAAGCCC
rnacentral:rRNA from 1 species